AACAAAUUUUCUAGUUAAAUAUAAAAUAUACGAUCCAUAUAAUAUAUUUAAUAACGAAUUUUUAAUAUAAUAUAUCUACAAUUCGUAUUUUUCAGCUUAAUCUUUGAAGACAAUACAAUAAGACGUAACAUUUUUUAUUACAGAUUCAGAUAGGUAAUAAUACAAUAAAGUUUUCUUAUGAAGAUAAGAAAGGAGAAUACAUCAAGUAAAAUGGAAAGAAGUAAGAUUUUUUUUUGGGAAAAUGUCUAUGUGUACAUGUAUAGAAUUUGGUAAGAAAUCCUCACCGAUUCUACCCUGCUUUUCAAUAGAGGUGUGGGCCGAGAAAGAGUAAUGCUGGAGCAACAAAAUUAGCAUCCUGUUGAAAAAACGAAUGCGCGAGAUUUUGUUUGCUUAUAAUUGUUUCCUUCAAUUCAUUUGUGCAAAUACCUCUUCAGAAAAUUAUACUUCCGAACAUUCAGGUCCAUGGAAGCUAUGCUGUACAUCCCAAAUCUGAUUUUUUCGAUGAUAUAAAGAUAAUUUUUUUCUUAAUUGUUGUUCCACACUGGUAGAAAUGUAUUAUUGUUAUGGGGAGAUGCAGUGAAUAAGGUUUUUUCUAUUGAUGUCCUCACUCUCACUUUUUAUAAGAUAUAGAGACAAUAGUAACAUGCAUUUUAAAAUAAUUUUGGAAUCAUACAAGACUUGGCUUAUUAACAAAGAAUAUAUAGGAAAAAGCGAAAAAUGACUUCUACAAAUGUGCAAUCAUUGAAGUCAAAGUAUAUAACCGUAACAAUUUUUGUUACUGAUGCAUAUAUGAAAUAAUACAUUGUUAAAAGCUGUUUAUGAAGAUAAAAUGGAGAAAACACCAUGAAAAAUGGAGAGAAAUAAUAUUUUCUUUUGGGAAGAUGUGUACUUGCAUAGAAUUUCAUAAAAAAAUCUCACAAUUGUACCCUACAAGUGUGGGCUAAGAAAAAGUAAAGCUGGAGUAACAAGAUCGGAAUCCUGUUGAAAAAACGGAUCCGCCAAAUGGUUUCUGCUUAUAAUUGUUGCCUUCAAAUAAUUUCUGCAAAUAUCUCUUCAGAAAAUUAUACUUCCGAACAUUCAGAUGCAUGGAAGCUAUGCUGUACAUCCCAAAUCUGCUUUUUUUGAUGAUAUAAAGAUCAUUUUAGUGGUUGUUCCAUGCUGGUAGAAAUGUAUUGUUAUGAGGAGAUGCAGUGAAUAAGGUUUUCUAUUGAUGUCCUCACUCUCAUUUUUUAUAAGAUAUAAAGACAAUAGUAGUAUGCAGUUUAAAAAUAAUUUUGGAACCAUACAAGACUUGGCUUAUUAACAAAGAAUAUAUAGGAAAAAGCGAAAAAUGACUUCUACAAAUGUGCAAUCAUUGAAGUCAAAGUAUAUAACCGUAACAUUUUUUGUUACAGAUGCAGAUAUGAAAUAAUACAGUGAUAAGAGCUGUUUAUGAAGAUAAAAUGGAGAAAACACUAAGAAAAAUGGAGAGAAAUAUGAUUUUCUUUUGGGAAGAUGUGUACUUGCAUAGAAUUUCUUAAGAAAAUCUCACAAUUGUACCCUGCAAGUGUGGGCCGAGAAAAAGUAAAGCUGGAGUAACUAGAUCGGAAUCCUGUUGAAAAAACGGAUCCGCCAAAUGGUUUCUGCUUAUAAUUGUUGCCUUCAAAUAAUUUCUGCAAAUACCUCUUCAGAAAAUUUAUACUUCCAAACAUUCAAAUCCAUGAAAGCUAUGCUGUACAUCCCAAAUCUGCUUUUUUCGAUGAUAUAAAGAUAAUUUUGAUGGUUUUUUCAUGCUGGUAGAAAUGUAUUGUUAUGAGGAGAUGCAGUGAAUAAGAACCAAGACUUUCCA